rnacentral:rRNA from 1 species
CAUGCAAGUCGAGCGGGGGAAGGUAGCUUGCUACUGGACCUAGCGGCGGACGGGUGAGUAAUACUUAGGAAUCUGCCUAUUAGUGGGGGACAACGUUCCGAAAGGAGCGCUAAUACCGCAUACGCCCUACGGGGGAAAGCAGGGGAUCUUCGGACCUUGCGCUAAUAGAUGAGCCUAAGUCGGAUUAGCUAGUUGGUGGGGUAAAGGCCUACCAAGGCGACGAUCU